UACGUAGGGUGCGAGCGUUGUCCGGAAUUAUUGGGCGUAAAGAGCUCGUAGGCGGUGUGUCGCGUCGGCCGUGAAAACCUGGGGCUUAACUCUGGGCGUGCGGUCGAUACGGGCAUCACUAGAGUUCGGCAGGGGAGACUGGAAUUCCUGGUGUAGCGGUGAAAUGCGCAGAUAUCAGGAGGAACACCGGUGGCGAAGGCGGGUCUCUGGGCCGAUACUGACGCUGAGGAGCGAAAGCAUGGGUAGCGAACAAG
rnacentral:rRNA from 1 species